UGGAAGUAAAAGUCGUAACAAGGUCUCCGUUGGUGAACCAGCGGAGGGAUCAUUACCGAGUUUACAACUCCCAAACCCAAUGUGAACGUUACCAAACUGUUGCCUCGGCGGGAUCUCUGCCCCGGGUGCGUCGCAGCCCCGGACCAAGGCGCCCGCCGGAGGACCAACCAAAACUCUUAUUGUAUACCCCCUCGCGGGUUUUUUAUAAUCUGAGCCUUCUCGGCGCCUCUCGUAGGCGUUUCGAAAAUGAAUCAAAACUUUCAACAACGGAUCUCUUGGUUCUGGCAUCGAUGAAGAACGCAGCGAAAUGCGAUAAGUAAUGUGAAUUGCAGAAUUCAGUGAAUCAUCGAAUCUUUGAACGCACAUUGCGCCCGCCAGUAUUCUGGCGGGCAUGCCUGUCCGAGCGUCAUUUCAACCCUCGAACCCCUCCGGGGGGUCGGCGUUGGGGAUCGGCCCUCCUCUAGCGGGGGCCGUCUCCGAAAUACAGUGGCGGUCUCGCCGCAGCCUCUCCUGCGCAGUAGUUUGCACACUCGCAUCGGGAGCGCGGCGCGUCCACAGCCGUUAAACACCCAACUUCUGAAAUGUUGACCUCGGAUCAGGUAGGAAUACCCGCUGGACUUAAGCAUAUCAAUAAGC
rnacentral:rRNA from 1 species